rnacentral:lncRNA from 10 species
UCCUAUUAGCAUCAUAAUUGCUUCUAGGAAAGAACAAGCCCAACUCAUCUGGAAAAAAAUCAGUAGCAGAAUUAUAAAUCUUAUCAGACAGAGAAUUAUGACAGUUUAGAUCUCUACAUAUAAUACGAAGAAAGAUUCACGUUAAGCAUUUGUGCUUAACGCUGCCCUGUCCAAUUUUUCGUAAGGAGGCACUGAGGUUGCGCUACUGUCACCACUGGUCUAUGGCUGCUAGGUCUUUUUACCUUCAUAUCAGACUCUCCUCUCCCUUGAACUUACUCUUGACCCUACCUCAAAGGCUGGGCGUGGUGGCUCACACCUGUAAUCGCGGCACUUUGGGAGGCUGAGGCUGGAGAAUCACUUGAGCCCAGGAGUUCGAGACCAAACUGGGCAACACAGGGAGACCUUGUCUCUACUAAAAAUUAAAAAUUAGCCAGGUGUGGCGUUGCACAUCUGUAGUUCCAGCUACUCAAGGAGGCUAAGCAGGGAGGAUCUUUUGAGCCCAGGAGGUCG